ACUCAAAUGAAUAGACGGGGGCCCGCACAAGCGGUGGAGCAUGUGGCUUAAUUCGAUGCAACGCGAAGAACCUUACCUGGACUUGACAUGUAACUGCACGCCGGGCGAAAGCUUGGAAGCCUUCGAGGGUGUUACACAGGUGCUGCAUGGCUGUCGUCAGCUCGUGCCGUGAGGUGUUAGGUUAAGUCCUGCAACGAGCGCAACCCCUGUGACUAGUUGCUCGCGCGCAAGCGCAGUACUCUAGUCAGACUGCCUGUGAUAAGCAGGAGGAAGGUGGGGAUGACGUCAAGUCAGUAUGGUCCUUAUGUCCAGGGCUGCACACGUGCUACAAUGAUCGGUACAGAGGGAAGCAAAGUCGCGAGGCGAAGCAAAUCCCCGAAAGCCGAUCUCAGUUCAGAUUGGAGUCUGCAACUCGACUCCAUGAAGCUGGAAUCGCUAGUAAUGGCGCAUCAGCUACGGCGCCGUGAAUACGUUCCCGGGCCUUGUACACACCGCCCGU
rnacentral:rRNA from 1 species